AGUCAGAGCUGCUCGUCUGAGGCUGCUGAGGCGACGGCCGGUGUCGUGGUCGCGGUACCUGUUCCAACACGGCUCGCGGGCCCGUGCCGGCUCCGGUCCCCGGCGCGGCUGUCCGAGCCCCUGCGGCGGGCGGACGAUGGUGUGGCGGAGCACGCGGACGCGGGCGGCGCGGCGGCGGGCAUGAAGGAGGAUGGAAGGGCAGGACGAGGUGUCGGCGCGGGAGCAGCACUUCCACAGCCAAGUGCGGGAGUCCACGAUAUGUUUCCUUCUUUUUGCCAUUCUCUACGUUGUUUCCUACUUCAUCAUCACAAGAUACAAGAGAAAAUCAGGCCGGAGAGCAGUGGGGCAAUCAUGGCUGACUGUAGCCUCGACCUCCUGGGCUCAAGUGAUUCUCCAACCUCAGCCUCCUGAGUAUCCUGCACUACAGAUGAACAAGAAGAUGAAGAUGCCAUCGUCAACAGGAUUUCGUUGUUUUUGAGCACGUUCACUCUCGCAGUGUCAGCUGGGGCUGUUUUGCUUUUACCCUUCUCAAUCAUCAGCAAUGAAAUCCUGCUUUCUUUUCCUCAGAACUACUAUAU
rnacentral:lncRNA from 10 species